UACGUAGGGGGCGAGCGUUGUCCGGAAUCAUUGGGCGUAAAGCGCGUGUAGGCGGCCCGGUAAGUCCGCUGUGAAAGUCCAGGGCUCAACCCUGGGAUGCCGGUGGAUACUGUCGGGCUCGAGUCCGGAAGAGGCGAGUGGAAUUCCAGGUGUAGCGGUGAAAUGCGUAGAUAUCUGGAGGAACACCGGUGGCGAAGGCGGCAUCCUGGACCGGUAUUGACGCUGAGGCGCGAAAGCCAGGGGAGCAAACGGG
rnacentral:rRNA from 1 species